ACACUCUCAAGCACUGCUUGGUGUUGGGUGCUUGUCUGCCAUUGCGCAGACUCACCCUAAAUGUAUUGGCAGCAGCACCGCUAGCUUCUUGCGCAGCACAUUGCGGUAUAAGCGGCUAGCAACAGGUCUGCAACCACGAAGAAAUCUCCA
rnacentral:misc_RNA from 1 species